CGGCCCCAGGUCAGGCGUGAGUACCCGCUGAGUUUAAGCAUAUCACUAAGCGGAGGAAAAGAAACUUACCAGGAUUCCCCUAGUAACGGCGAGCGAACCGGGAAGAGCCCAGCAUGAAAAUCGGCCGAUCUACGCGCCGAAUUGUAGCAGG
rnacentral:rRNA from 1 species